UGAAUCCAUAGGUUAAUGAGGCGAACCGGGGGAACUGAAACAUCUAAGUACCCCGAGGAAAAGAAAUCAACCGAGAUUCCCCCAGUAGCGGCGAGCGAACGGGGAGCAGCCCAGAGCCUGAAUCAGUAUGUGUGUUAGUGGAAGCGUCUGGAAAGGCGCGCGAUACAGGGUGACAGCCCCGUACACAAAAAUGCACAUAUUGUGAGCUCGAUGAGUAGGGCGGGACACGUGGUAUCCUGUCUGAAUAUGGGGGGACCAUCCUCCAAGGCUAAAUACUCCUGACUGACCGAUAGUGAACCAGUACCGUGAGGGAAAGGCGAAAAGAAC
rnacentral:rRNA from 1 species